UAGGGAAUCUUCCGCAAUGGGCGAAAGCCUGACGGAGCAACGCCGCGUGAGUGAUGAAGGUCUUCGGAUCGUAAAACUCUGUUAUUAGGGAAGAACAAAUGUGUAAGUAACUAUGCACGUCUUGACGGUACCUAAUUAGAAAGCCACGGCUAACUACGUGCCAGCAGCCGCGGUAAUACGUAGGUGGCAAGCGUUAUCCGGAAUUAUUGGGCGUAAAGCGCGCGUAGGCGGUUUUUUAAGUCUGAUGUGAAAGCCCACGGCUCAACCGUGGAGGGUCAUUGGAAACUGGAAAGCUUGAGUGCAGAAGAGGAAAGUGGAAUUCCAUGUGUAGCGGUGAAAUGCGCAGAGAUAUGGAGGAACACCAGUGGCGAAGGCGACUUUCUGGUCUGUAACUGACGCUGAUGUGCGAAAGCGUGGGGAUCAAACAGG
rnacentral:rRNA from 1 species